GCUCAUAUAGCUCAGUCGGUUAGAGCGGUGGUCUUAUGCCUCGCGAAGGUAGCCGCAGGUCCGGGGUUCGAGCCCCCGUAUGAGCA